rnacentral:rRNA from 1 species
AACGAACGCUGGCGGCAGGCUUAACACAUGCAAGUCGAACGCCCCGCAAGGGGAGUGGCAGACGGGUGAGUAACGCGUGGGAAUCUACCCAGUUCUACGGAACAACUGAGGGAAACUUCAGCUAAUACCGUAUACGCCCCAAGGGGGAAAGAUUUAUCGGAAUUGGAUGAGCCCGCGUUAGAUUAGCUAGUUGGUGGGGUAACGGCCUACCAAGGCGACGAUCUAUACCUGGUCUGAGAGGAUGAUCAGCCACACUAGGACUGAGACACGGCCCAGACUCCUACGGGAGGCAGCAGUGGGGAAUAUUGGACAAUGGGCGCAAGCCUGAUCCAGCCAUGCCGCGUGAGUGAUGAAGGCCUUAGGGUUGUAAAGCACUUUCAGUAGGGACGAUAAUGACGGUACCUACAGAAGAAGCCCCGGCUAACUUCGUGCCAGCAGCCGCAGUAAAAC